AAAGAAUGGAAGUGGGAGUGGCAUCAUUCACUACUGCGCCUAGUGACUCACAAGCAAAAUGUUUACUUCCUGUUUCCAUGACAUUAUGCUCUGCUGGCCUAGACGUCUUAGUUCCAGAGGAUGGAAUGCUUCACCAGGAGACACAAGAAUAAUUUCCUUGACCUGGGAGUUAAGACUGCCACCCAGCCACCUUGUGCUCUCCAUGCUGCUGAUUCAACAGGCAAAUAAGGAAGUUAUGGUGUGGGCUACAGUGAUUGAUCUGACUAACAAGAGGGAAAUUGCUCCACCAUGGGGGUGAGGGAGAGUACAUCUGGAAUACAGAAGUUCCCUUAGGACACCCUUAGUGUUCCCACACAUUGCGAUUAAGGCCAGUGGAAAACUACAAUAACUCAGUUCAGGCGGAACAACUCAUGGGGCAGAAUCUUCAAGGAAUGAAGAUUUGAGUCCUUCUACCAGGUUUUGCAGAGUGCCUCCAGAAAUAAAAGUGUUACAAAAGAAUCACUUCAGAAAACCUACACUUAGAGAGUCCAUUUGAAAAUUGCCCUAUUUGAAAUGAAGUGGAGAUCAGUAAUAACAAGGACUUCCCCAUAUAACCCAAGGUCCUACUGGGUUAGUGUGAUCUUCUGCGGAAGGCUGCAGCUGCUGUCAGGAGGCCCUCUGUCUACACUCCUCUCUGGAGAAGUGUAAGUGUUUUGUCAGGUAAAUACUUCGUCACUCUCCAGCGUAGCAGUGAGAAUCAUCCCUCCUAUCUCUAGCAUCAGAGUCCCUCCUAUUGUUUCUAACCACCCACCCCCCGUAUCCUUGUAAAUAAUCUCUUUAUUAAAUUGUCUGCAAAUUACUUCAUUUUAAUGUGCUGUCCAUUUCCUUUUGGGACCCUGGCUGAUAUUGAUACUGAUGUUGGGUAAUUACUGAUUAUUGAUACUGAUAGUUGACACUGAUACCGAUAAUAAUUAUUAUUAAUAGCUAAUAUCCAUAAUUUGAUACUGAUUAUCAGAAAAGGAUACUGACACUCUAGGAUAUUAGCAGGAUCAGUAAAUACUGACACUGAUACUGAUAUUAAUACUGGCUGCUACUGCUAGGUAAUUACUAGGUCUGUCUAUCAAUCUAUCCAUCUAUCUAGGAUGUUCUCACUCUUGUAAAUAUCUCUAUAAAGCCUUGUCAAACAGAAAAAGGAGACAAUGUGAAAGGGUCUUGUGUACAUUUAGUCUCUAUUCAUCUAUUACAAGUUUCCUUUCUAAACCAAAUAGUUCUAUAUUGUUUUGGAGACUAUCUAACCCUCAUUAAUUAGCUGUUUUAUUUCUAUUUCUUUAUUGCUCAUAUAUAACAAUAGGAAAACUUGGUUAGUCAGUUAAUUAACAAAUAUUUAGUAAUGUAUAUUAUUAUAUGACUUGAGACAUGAUAAACAUGUUCUAAAAGUGUGGAACACAACAUUUGAUAAGAAAGGCAGAAUCUCCAUCUUCAAAGAGAUUGCAUUAUAGUGGAAAGAGCCAGACAAUAUAUAAAUAUAUAAACCAAGAAAUAAGAUCAUUAAGGUACUGAUAAGUGUUAUGAAGAAGAUGAAACGGGGUGAUUUUGACAGACAUUGACUGUAACAGGACCAGUUGUUUUAGAGAGCAUCAGAGCAGCUCUUCAUGAGGAGGAGCAUCAGAGAAGCUCUUCAUGAGGAGGAGCCUCAUGAAGGUGAAACCUAAAUGAUGAGAAGCCAGCUAUGUAAGAGGAGCAUUUGACACAGAAGGAACCAUAAGUACAAAUGUAAUGAGAUGAGAAAUUUCUUUGGUAUGUUGAAGACAUCAGGACAGGUGAGUAGCAUGCACCUGUGUCCCAGCUACACCAGAGGCUGAGGCAGGAGGAUUGUGUGAGCCCAGGAGCUUGAGGAUGCAGUGAGUUAUGACCAUAGCACUGCACUCCAUCCUUUUGUGAUGUCUUUUUUUUUUUAAGAAACGUCACUGUGUUCCGGGUGACAGAGCAAGAUGACAUUUCUGAAAAAAAAAUGGGGGGACAUCACAAAAGACCAUGGAUAAAACUAAGUAAACCAGAGAAACAAGAAGGAAGAGAGAGAGAUGAAUUGGGUGCAUUGGCAAAGCCAGAUAAUGUUAGAAUGACCAGGCCAUGGGAAGAGUCAGGUUCAAAACAUACUUAGAAGCCACUGGAGACUUUUAAAUGGGCAUAGGAGGAUCUGAUUUGUAGUUUAGAAUGAUUUCUCUGGCUGCUGCGUGUAGAACAGAUCCUAUGUAAGGGAGCAAAUGUGGAGGCAGAAAAGCUACUGCAGAGGUGAUAACAUUAGCUAAAAGAUCACAGUAUCUGGGGAAAGGGUGGUUGCGGUAGAGAGAGUAAAAAGUAGUUGGUUUCAGAAUACAUUUUAAUGGAAAUGGAAUAGCAGACUGAUGAUUGGAUAAUGGGAAUUGAGGGAAAUCAAGGAAUCCAGAAUGACUUGUAAAUUUUUGUUCUAAGAAAUUGAGUGGAUAAUGAUGGCAUUUACUUAAAUAGCAAAUACUUGUGGAGGUAAAUUCUGGAUAUGUGGGGCAACCAAGGGUUUUGUUGAUGCCAUGUAAACUUUGGCAUGCCAAUUAGAUACGAAGAGAUACUGAGUGGAAAGCUGGAUACUCAGGGGACCACAGUCUUCUGUUUCCUGGAUUUCAGGUCCCUUUUAAACUGAAGCAUAGUGAGAACAAGUGUAAAGCACAACACAGACGGAAGAUUGCACCUUAGCUCACUGCCCCGUGCACCCCGGUUACACCGUCUAAGAAAACACUCUGGAUUCAAUCCUUGGAAAAGUAGUUUGUCUCCAUGAGGUCAUACAGCUGCUUGAGGUUGCUCGGAGAGUAAGAAGCAGAAUGAGAACUAGAACAGAAGCUCACUUUGGCCUGAAGGCUCAUGUGCUGAGCAUCUUCCCUUGUCUGUCUCCACCCCUAGCCUGGUGCCCAGCAUGUAGAAGACCUUCAUCCUAGAUGCAAUGGGAUUAAACUUGGAGAAAAUGGGAUUAAACUUGGACAAACACUACCUAUUUGGACUUGUGAUGAUGGCUUUCAAACUUCUUAAAGCAAUGAAGUAUUUUUUCCAGAAGAAACCUUACACAAGAAGCCCAGCACACUGAGUCAAGCAUAUGUAGGUGGAAGAUAUCUGGUUGAGACCAAGUAGAGAUAAACCUGUAGAUUCAACUGUGCCACCACAGUGAAUUCUAAGAAUCCACUGACUGUGAUCUGUAAGCUCCUACUCCACAGGAGGUCAGGGCACACAGCUUGAAACCGGAAGGCAGAAGAGUGACAGGGAAGGGUCAUGGACUCUGAAAUUAGAGCUAUCUGUGUUUUAAUACUAGUUCCAAUAGGCACAUGGUCUUGGAUAAAUGGUUUAAAUUAUCUGAGUCUCAAUUUCUUUCUCUGCAAAAAGGGAUGAUUAGUACAUAUGUAAUAGGGUUUUUAUAGAAAAUUGUAUAACUUGUUAAACACACAUGUACUAAGUGCUUGGUGCCCAGUAUGCACUGAAUAAAUGCUAGCUCCUUGCCUUUCAUCUCUAUGACCCUUCCCAAAUCUCUCAGCCCCAUAUUGCUUCAUGUAGUGUGUGUAUAUUUGGGAAAAUUUGUGUGCAUAUUUACAGAUGGGAUCCUACUCUUCUAUUGACAGACUGUCUUUUCAGAUGUGCCUUACUUUCAUUGCAUUGGUUUUUCAACUGAAAGUGAACAUAAAGGUUUUAAGCAUGCCUAGGUCUUAUCUUUUUGGUCAAAUAUCUAACACCCUCAAUAACAGUUGUAAAUCAUUCUUUUGUAAUUUGAUCAUUCAUUUUUAUAAAGUAAAACACAACUGCCCACUGUAAAAAUAGACUUCAUUUGCUCUUUUCUUCCAGUGCAGCAAAUGACAGACACUUUAAGAACACACAUUUAACUUCAGCAAACAAAUCAUGUAUAUUUUAGACAUAACUGUCAAGUAUAGAAAUGAUACCAUCCAACUUACCAAACUAUCACAUAAGAAUGCCCAAUAGCAGACAUUAGGAUGGGGCAAAACUGAAAGAAGGAUUGACUUCAUCAAACCCUUGAUGACAUACAAAAUGGAAACCAUUCAAGUUCAACUGAAGAAAACGAUAUCCCACAAGAUCUAGGGGUAAAAAGCAGACAAAGUUUAGGAAUGAAUUUAAACUACUGACUUACGUGUUGUCAGGAGUCUAUUUCUAUUCCUCAAUUUUACUCCUUUUUGUACAACUGUGUGCAUUCUCUCUCUGACUCUCUCUUCCUCCCUCCCAACACCCCCCACCCUCUUCUUGUUGCUGUUUCUCUCUAUUUCUUCAGAUCAAAGGGUUGAUCUCUUCCAAAUGUACAUAUUACAGAUCCACACUCUUAGAAAAACAACAGAAUCUCUCUAGUGCUUAAUUUAAUUUGUCCAUCUAAAAGAUAUUACUUGGCCCAAUUUGACCAAGCACCAUCUACUGGACCAAAUAAUGGUGGCCAGAGAAGCAUGGUCACAAUGGGGAAUGGGAAUAAGAUGGGGAUCAUAUGGGGACUAAGAAUGGGCAAGAACAUCUCCCAGAGUGGUAAGAGAAACAAUCUAAUGGGCAUAUAUUCCCAGUGUCCUCAAAUACUCCUCUACCCUAAAUUGCUUGCUCUGCUCUUGGGCCUUUGGAUGUGCUGACCUGAGUAGUGGUAACAAGUUCAGAAUUGUAGGGAAAGGGCUAUGAGUUUAUAUUUUAAGGGCAGAGAGUGGCAUUUAUGCAGUGGAAACACAUGGAAGAUGAGUAGGAUUGUGAAGGAUAAACUUGGGAAAAGAACAAUGACCUGAAGAGUACUAAUAAAUGCAGGGAUGGGUGACCAGAAAGAAAGGAUAGAUAGGAGGAAAAUCUUAGAGUAAAACUGGCAAAAGUUCACGGCCAGUUUAGUUAAUGGAAUCAAGGACAGUGAAAACGCAAUGAUAACUUCAGUGUUCUGGUUCUGAUGACCAAAGAAGGUCAUCAUUGUGAUGGAUAUUUUCUCUUAUUUCAUAACCUCUGCUCUAUGCUCUGUGUGAUUCCUCUCCUUCCAUUCAACUUGCCUUGCAUUUUCCGGAGUCUACUCCUUGGCUAAAUAGGGUCCUUCUUUCUCAGUAGCCCUUACUACCGAAUUAAAUCAUGGUGCCAGGGCUCAUUCUGCUUUGUUUCUGGAAACCUGCCAAGCAUGCUCCUGCCUUGGGGGCUUGCACUGAUUCGUUGCUCCAUAUUGAAAUGUUAUUUGCAUGGUCACCUGUGGCCCUGAUAUGGUUUGGCUGUGUCCCCACCCAGAUCUCGAAUUGUAGCUCUCAUAAUUCCCACGUCAUGGGAGGGACCCAGUGGAAAGUAACUGAUUCAUGAGAGCAGGUGUUUCCCCCAUACUGUUCUCAUGAUAGUGGUAUAAGUCUCACAAGAUCUGAUGGUUUUUAUAAAGGGGAGUUUCCCUGCACAUGCUCUCUCUCUCGCCUGUUGCCAUGUAAGAUGUGCCUUUUCUCCUCCUUUGCCGCCCACCGUGAUUGUGAAGCCUCCCCAGCCACGUGGAACUGUGAGUCCAUUAAACCUCUUUCCUUUGUAAAUUACCUGGUCUUGGGUAUGUCUUUAUCAGCAGCAUGAGAACAGACUAAUACAGGCUCCUAUCCACACUUCCUCAGGACUCUCUCAGAGACCCCUUGCCUUACCAGCCUAUGUUAUUCCCAGUAGCCUUCUAUCCCUGUAUCUGGCUUUAGCUUAUUCAUGACCUGAUAUUUUACCAUCAGGAAAUAAAUAUAAAUAUCAACAAUGAAAGUAUAAAUGAAUGAUAUCUCUUUUCUUGACCAUCCCUACACAACAGAAUCCAAGUUUCAUGACAGCAGGGAUAUGUGUGGCUUACUGCAGUACUUUUACCUCCUAGAAGUCUCCUAGGCCAAUGGUAGAUGCUCGAUUAAUAUUUGUAGGAUGAAUAAGUGAAAAAAGUUUUGACUAGGGUCAGUAGUGUUAAUCUUGGUUCAAAAUAAAACAUGAGGUAAAAAUAAACGAGUAAGAAAAGAAACAAUUUAACAGACGAUGGCUUUUCCCACUUUUAUGUGAUGUUGCCUAGGCUUUGCCAUUUUAUUGAAUGGACAAACUUCUUUAUGACAUAACUUCCCUCUCACUCUCUCCUCCCAAUAGCAUAAAAUAAUGUAAAAGUCAGGAGAUCAAAAUCUAGCAGACCCAAUUUCAGUUCAAUAUAAUAUUGUAACAUUAACCAUAAAAACCAUAGAAAAAAACCUAGACAAUACCAUUCAGGACAUAGGCAUGGGCAAAGACUUCAUGACUAAAACACCAAAAGCAAUUGCAACAACAGCCAAAAAGUGACAAAUGGGAUCUAAUUAACCUAGAGUUUCUGCACAGCAAAAUAAACUAUCAUCAGAGUAAACAGACAACCUACAGAAUUAGAGAAAAUGUUUUCAAUCUAUCCACCUGACAAAGGGCUAAUAUCCAGAACCUAAAAGGAACUUAAACAAAUUUACAAGAAAAAAACAACCCCAUCAAAAAGUGCGUGAAGGGUAUGAACAGACACUUUUCAAAAGAAGACAUUUAUGUGGCCAACAAACAUAUGAAAAAAAGCUCAUCAUCACUUGUCAUUAGAGAAAUGCAAAUCAAAACCACAACGAGAUACCGUCUCAUGACAGUUAGAAUGGCGAUCAUUGAAAAGUCAGAAAACAACAGAUGCUGGAGAGGGUGUAGAGAAAUAGGAAUGCUUUUACACUGUUGGUGGGAGUGUAAAUUAGUUCAACCAUUGUGGAAGAUAGUGUGGUGAUUCCUCAGGGAUCUAGAACUAGAAAUAUCAUUUGAUCCAGCAAUCCCAUUACUGGGUAUAUACCAAAAGGAUAAUAAAUCAUUCUACUAUAAAGACACAUGUACACGUAUGUUUAUUGCAGCACUAUUCACAAUAGCAAAGACUUGGAAUACUAUGCAGCCAUAAAAAAUGAUGAGUUCAUGUCCUUUGCAGGGACAUGAAUGAAGCUGGAAACCAUCAUUCUCAGCAAACUAACACAGAAACAGAAAACCAAACACCACGUGUUCUCACUCAUAAGUAGGAGUUGAAGAAUGAGAACAUGUGGACACAGGGAGGGGAACAUCACACACUGGGUCCUGUUGAGCGCUGGGGGACAAGGGGAGGAGUAGCAUUAGGAGAAAUACCUAAAGUAAAUGAUGGGUUGAUGGGUGUAGCAAACCACCAUGGCACAUGUAUACCUAUGUAACAAACCUGCACGUUCUGCACAUGUAUCCCAGAACUUAAAGUAUAAUAAAUUUAAAAAAAGAAAAAAAAUUGUUGUCUUCUCUGUGCCCGUUUUCUUUUAUUUUAAAAUGGCCUGAAAUAAUUUAAUAUGUGUUAUGGAUUAAAUCGUGUCCCUCAAAAAGAUGUUGAAAUCCUAAGCCCCUUAUCUGUGAGUGUG
rnacentral:lncRNA from 1 species